CAGUAACCUAUUACAUUUCAAAAGUUACCUUCUCUAUACUGACCGUGACAAUCAGCAAUAACACCUCUUUGUACCGUACAUGUGUUGUUAUUUUGUCUGACAGCUCGUGUUGUGGUGAACCUGAGGGUUGUCAGUCUGGUGGAGAGCGUGGCCUUCCAAAGCUCCUCCUACAACUUCAGUUUACCUGAGAACCUGCCAGUGGGGGCGACGGUGGGAAAGGUCUGGGCCUCCUCAGGAAGCAACCUUUACGACGUGGCCUACGCACUGAAAACGUACACUGACCUGUUCUCCAUCGACACCAGUGGAGCCAUCCUGACUACUGCACAGCUGGACAAAGAAAAGCAGGAGUGGUACAUCCUGGACGUGGAGGCUUCCUCAGGUCAGGUGUACGUGGUGUCAGCAGCAGAUGUGGAUGGAGACACAGUAACAGUGGAGGUGAAGGCCACAGACCCCCAAGGACUUUUCGCUACGGUCACGGUGAAGGUGGUGGUUCAGGGAAGUGCGAGCAGCAAUGACGUGGUGACCAUCUCACUCAAUCAGCCUGCUAAUACUGUGGAGAAUAAAAUUCCAGAAUUGGAGAAUGCUUUAGGUAAAGCUCUGGGCUGGACAGUGAACAUCAUCCAGGUGUCCAAUGCUAACAGAGGAGCCACUAAGUCCCGAAUGCUGAGAAACUCUGUGAAGACUUUGGUCAGCUUCAUCACCGAAGAAAAUGGAGAGACAGUUUCCUCUCAAAAAGUCAUAAAG
ensembl:lncRNA